CCUACGGGAGGCAGCAGUGGGGAAUAUUGGACAAUGGGGGCAACCCUGAUCCAGCCAUGCCGCGUGUGUGAAGAAGGCCCUCGGGUUGUAAAGCACUUUCAGUGAGGAAGAACGCCUGUUGGUUAAUACCCCUCAGGAGAGACAUCACUCACAGAAGAAGCACCGGCUAACUCCGUGCCAGCAGCCGCGGUAAUACGGAGGGUGCGAGCGUUAAUCGGAAUUACUGGGCGUAAAGCGCGCGUAGGUGGCUUGAUAAGCCGGUUGUGAAAGCCCCGGGCUCAACCUGGGAACGGCAUCCGGAACUGUCAAGCUAGAGUGCAGGAGAGGAAGGUGGAAUUCCCGGUGUAGCGGUGAAAUGCGUAGAGAUCUGGAGGAAUACCAGUGGCGAAGGCGGCUUUCUGGUCUGACACUGACACUGAGGUGCGAAAGCGUGGGUAGCAAACAGGAUUAGAUACCCUUGUAGUC
rnacentral:rRNA from 1 species